GUGGAUUAGAUACCCUGGUAGUCCACGCCCUAAACGAUGCAUAUUUGGUGUGGGCAGUUCAUUCUGUCCGUGCCGGAGCUAACGCGUUAAAUAUGCCGCCUGGGGAGUACAGUCGCAAGGCUGAAACUCAAAGGAAUUGACGGGGGCCCGCACAAGCGGUGGAGCAUGUGGUUCAAUUCGACGCAACGCGAAGAACCUUACCUGGGCUCGAACGGCUGGUCAACGGCGGUGGAAACAUCGCUAUCCCGCAAGGGGGUCCAGUCGAGGUGCUGCAUGGUCGUCGUCAGCU
rnacentral:rRNA from 1 species